rnacentral:tRNA from 1 species
GCGGCUGUUAUAGAAGAUAGCAUCGCUGCCCGGAAAGCAGGAGGUGCGGGUUCGAGUCCCGCCUGGCGCA